UACAGAGGGUGCGAGCGUUAAUCGGAAUUACUGGGCGUAAAGCGCGCGUAGGCGGCUUUGCAAGUCGGGUGUGAAAUCCCCAGGCUUAACCUGGGAACUGCAUUCGAGACUGCAUUGCUAGAGUAUGGGAGAGGGAAGUGGAAUUUCCGGUGUAGCGGUGAAAUGCGUAGAUAUCGGAAGGAACAUCAGUGGCGAAAGCGACUUCCU
rnacentral:rRNA from 1 species